CACGGUCCAGACUCCUACGGGAGGCAGCAGUGGGGAAUAUUGCACAAUGGGCGCAAGCCUGAUGCAGCCAUGCCGCGUGUAUGAAGAAGGCCUUCGGGUUGUAAAGUACUUUCAGCGGGGAGGAAGGCGGUGAGGUUAAUAACCUCAUCGAUUGACGUUACCCGCAGAAGAAGCACCGGCUAACUCCGUGCCAGCAGCCGCGGUAAUACGGAGGGUGCAAGCGUUAAUCGGAAU
rnacentral:rRNA from 1 species